AGGAUGUCGACUUGGAGGUUGUGCCCUUGAGGCGUGGCUUCCGGAGCUAACGCGUUAAGUCGACCGCCUGGGGAGUACGGCCGCAAGGUUAAAACUCAAAUGAAUUGACGGGGGCCCGCACAAGCGGUGGAGCAUGUGGUUUAAUUCGAUGCAACGCGAAGAACCUUACCUACUCUUGACAUCCAGAGAACUUUCCAGAGAUGGAUUGGUGCCUUCGGGAACUCUGAGACAGGUGCUGCAUGGCUGUCGUCAGCUCGUGUUGUGAAAUGUUGGGUUAAGUCCCGCAACGAGCGCAACCCUUAUCCUUUGUUGCCAGCGGUCCGGCCGGGAACUCAAAGGAGACUGCCAGUGAUAAACUGGAGGAAGGUGGGGAUGACGUCAAGUCAUCAUGGCCCUUACGAGUAGGGCUACACACGUGCUACAAUGGCGCAUACAAAGAGAAGCGACCUCGCGAGAGCAAGCGGACCUCAUAAAGUGCGUCGUAGUCCGGAUUGGAGUCUGCAACUCGACUCCAUGAAGUCGGAAUCGCUAGUAAUCGUAGAUCAGAAUGCUACGGUGAAUACGUUCCCGGGCCUUGUACACACCGCCCGUCACACCAUGGGAGUGGGUUGCAAAAGAAGUAGGUAGCUUAACCUUCGGGAGGGCGCUUACCACUUUGUGAUUCAUGACUGGGGUGAAGUCGUACAAGGGGUAACCCGAAGAGUUUGAUCCUGGCUCAGUAAGUCGUAACAAGGUAACCGUACACCGUGGGCCUGCC
rnacentral:rRNA from 1 species